GUGGAUUGUGGCUCAGUGGUAGAGCGCUCACUUAGCAUGGGCAGGACCUUGGUUCAAUUCUUAGCACCACA
rnacentral:tRNA from 1 species